AUCUUUCUAGUAUUAGAUUAGUACAAAUGACUUCCAAUCAUUUAGUCUUGGUUAAACCCCAAGGAAAGAUA
rnacentral:tRNA from 1 species